GAAAGGAGAAAAACAAGAGCAAGAACACCACAAAAUCAAGGGCCAUUCGGCCAAGACCCAAAUUUUUGCCCCUUUGAAAUAUUAUUCCAAAAAUUAUUUUCUUGUGGUAUUCCUACUAAUUCAAGGGUCCUCUACAACUUGGUGUAGUUAUUUUGGAAGAAAGGGCACUUGUUUCAUCAAUUUAGCACCUUGGACAAGUGAAGAACUUAGGAGAAAAAGAUUUUGGCGAACUUGAAACUUGAUUUUGGAGACGUGUAUGAAGCGGAAAAGGUAUGUAAGGCUUCACUCUCCCUUCUUUGGCAUGUCUUAGACAUAAUAGGUUUGAAUACGAGCCUCGGGGACGAUCCUAUCCCUAGAAAUUCGAGAUUGAAAUUAGCCCUUUUUCAUUCAAUAGAAUUGAAUUAAGUUUUUCAUAUCUUAUUGAACAAUUGCAUCUAACAUCUAUAACUUGUCAAAUGAAAUCGGAUUACACUAAAACCUUCAUAAGUGUUAUAAUUACUCUAAUGAGAAUAUUUCUAUGACGGAUAUGGUUUCAUAGUCGAAAAUCUCGAGUUAUGGGCUCAAUAUGAAUAUGAGAAAAUAAAGUUAGUUCCUAAUCCUCAAUCUUAUUUCUUGAACAUGACUUUACUUUCUAAAGACUUCAAGAACAUAAGUUGACACCUUAUAAGGUUCAUGAUCUUAUUACAUGCUUUCUCUUAAUACCAUCUUUCAUUUAUGGUCUCGCCUUACUGUACUAGUUCCUCCAAGGCGAGACAAAGUGACCAUGGUUAUUCCAUAAGAUAAUCGGAGGUUACCGACCUUAUGUCACUCCGAUACGGACACGAUUUUCUUUAGGCUCUCAUGCAUGUUGUUUAUAUGUUAUAAGUAUAUGCAUAUGUAUAUGGGGAAGAUUGGAAAAGGGAAGGCGCUAUAGACGCACAGCCACCUGAUCAGUUGGAGUAUGGUACAUGAUAUCGUCCCGGACGCGGGAUAUAUGGUUAAAUGGAUCGGAGCCGACGCCUCGGUAAUAUGACAUGUUCUAUUUUCUAUAUAUAUGAAAAGAAAUGUCUUCCUAAGAAAGUAAAGUAAUAUAUGUAUAUGGACCGGGCUGCACAUUCCACAGCAAUAUGUUAUAGUAUAUGCACAUAUGGAUCGGGCUGUACGUUCCGCAGCGUCAAGCAUGCAUGGUAUUCGCCCAAGGGCACUUAUAUGCACAGGUUAUUUUUCUACCUCAUGAUAUGCUCGGUAUUUCUUUGAUGUCGUUAUCCAUGUUCUAUAUUUCCUGUAUGUUAUUAUUCAUGCCUUACAUACUCGGUACAUUACUCGUACUGACGUCCCUUCUUGUGGACGCUGCGUUUCAUGCCACGCAGGUGAGCAGGCGGACAAGUUUGGUUCCUAGGAGCCCUAUCGGUGGUACACUAGCAGCGCUCCAGUUGUUCCGGAGCCUCAGUUUCUUGGUACUUUUUUUUGUGUACAUAUUCGGGCACGGCAGUACCCGACCCUCCUUGUUACCAUAUGUACUUUGUUAGAGGCUCGUAGAUAGACAUGUACAGUCAGAUGUUUCAUAAUCUUGGUUGUCCCUGUCGAUGUAUAUUAAAUUAGUAAAGAAAUAACGGUAUAGUUCAUACGGCCCACUUAGUAAUAAAAGUAUGAUGCGAGAUAAGGGGUGCUCGGUACAAGUAUCGGGUACCCGUCGCGGCCCCUAGUUGGGUCGUGACAGUUCGAGUCCUGAGUAUGAAAAAUCUUUGGUAGGGAGCAUUUCUCCGAGUGGGACCUAUGCAGUGUGAAUCUGAAUUUAGUAGAACUCCAAUACAAAUACCGGACACCGGGUGAAAAUCCAAAAAAAAUAAAAUAAAGGAAAAAACCAAAAGGGACCAAAUAGCCAAAAGAGAAACAGCUAAAAAUGACUAACCUAACUAUUGAUCUGCACGCCUAAACCCCUUCUCCCUUAAAACUCUCAAGCCAAAACUUAUCCCCCUUUUCCCUACUCCUUCACGUCCCUAAGUUCUGCAACACACACAUACAUCUAUAUAUCCACAACACAGAACAUACAAGGACGAAGAGUAAAGAAACACAUAUACACGGAUAGAGCAAAAAAUGCAGAGAGCAAUUACGAGUUUCCGAAAAGGUUUUGUUUGAAAUUUAUGUCGGAGUUCGAGGCUUUCAUUCGUGGUUUCUUCGUCGACCUGAAAGUUUGCUGUUAUAACUUUGGAGUUCAAUAGAUUGUAGCCGUUUUCUUGUAAUGAAUUAGUCUUCCUAAAAGGAGUAGGAGAAUUGUGGACGUGUCGAUGCAUAUCAUAACGAACCUUAUGGUGAUACAACUCCGAUAGUUACUUUCAAACUGAUGGAACAAUUUUAAGUUGAGGUUUUUGUGUAGAUCUGCGUAUAGAGUAGGAUGAGAUGGAUGUUGCAACUCGGAUGUGUUACGAGACCGUGGGAGGAGGAGAUGAGGAGAAGAGUUUAUGGCCUUGGGUCUCACGAGUAACACUAUUAUGGCCUUGGGUGCUACUUCUGGUCUUGAUAAACAUCACUCUCCAACACCACAUUAGUUAGCUUUGUUUUUUGGAUUCUAUUCUAUUAGUUGUAAAAUUAUGAACAUUGGUGAUGCUUUAGGAUUUAUGCAUUGGAUCUGCU